AACGAACGCUGGCGGCAUGCCUAACACAUGCAAGUCGAACGAGACCUUCGGGUCUAGUGGCGCACGGGUGCGUAACGCGGGGGAACCUGCCCUUAGGUUCGGAAUAACUCCCCGAAAGGGGUGCUAAUACCGGAUAAUGUCUUCGGACCAAAGAUUUAUCGCCUUUGGAUGGGCCCGCGUUGGAUUAGCUAGUUGGUAGGGUAAAAGCCUACCAAGGCGACGAUCCAUAGCUGGUCUGAGAGGAUGAUCAGCCACACUGGGACUGAGACACGGCCCAGACUCCUACGGGAGGCAGCAGUGGGGAAUAUUGGACAAUGGGCGAAAGCCUGAUCCAGCUAUGCCGCGUGAGUGAUGAAGGCCUUAGGGUUGUAAAGCUCUUUUACCCGGGAUGAUAAUGACAGUACCGGGAGAAUAAGCACCGGCUAACUCCGUG
rnacentral:rRNA from 1 species